rnacentral:rRNA from 1 species
AUUGAACGCUGGCGGCAGGCCUAACACAUGCAAGUCGAGCGAGCGGCGGACGGGUGAGUAAUGUAUGGGGACUGCCCGACCGAGGGGGAAAACUAGUGGAAACGUUGGCUACUACCGCAUAAUGUGGGAUAACCCAUAUGGGAUUAGCUAGUAGGUGGGGUAAAGGCUCACCUAGGCGACGAUCUCUAGCUGACCUGAGAGGAUGAUCAGCCACACUGGGACUGAGACACGGCCCAGCCUCCGACGGAGGCAGCAGUGGGGAAUAUUGCACAAUGGGCGAAAGCCUGAGGCAGCCAUGCCGCGUGUAUGAAGAAGGCCUUAGGGUUGUAAAGCACUUUUAGCGGGGAGGCGUUACCCGCAGAAGAAGCACCGGCUAACUCCGUGCCAGCAGCCGCGGUAAUAC